CCAUAUAAUUUAGGGUUUGUUCAAUUUUAGCAGGUGGAGUUAGAGAGUCAAACGUCGUAGUUCUUUGCUUCUCACCACCAAAGACGGUCGUCGUUGUAAUAUCUUCAUUAAUCAUCACUUGAAAACAUUGAUCCAAGCAUUAAGAUUUUCUGCACCACUCCUCCCACUCUCUCGAAUUAAAUCGACCAUAACAUCCUCCAAAGUAAUCGCCUGAAGCUUCACCUAUAAAUGGCUUUGUUGCCUAGGAUGAACAGUACUAUCAAAACGAAAUCCCAAAGGUCUUCCUCUGUCAAGCAUCAAAUCGAUCAAUGGCGAAUCAUUUACUCUUCUCCCCGAUUUUAAAGCUAAACACUGUUCAAACACAGCCGAGAGAUUCUAAGAGGCAAGAAAUGUUAAGAAAGGCUGCCAACUCAUGGAUGUCCGCAUGCUUCUCCUUGACGAGCAUGUAACUCCGGCGAACCACCACCCUCUUUUAUCAGCUCUUUCCACUUAUUUAACGAUUUUGAAUGUCUUUCCACUUAUUAUGUCUUUCUCAAACAGUCAACGAGAAAGUACCUAUUAACAAUCUUAUUCCCAAUAUCUGUUUUUGGAUUGAACUUCAAACUAACCAAAAUUUAUUUACUCUGUUUUUUUUUCAGUCGAUUUUGAUUCAAGGUUCCAUCGCUUAAUAUUUUCAGAAAUCUCUUGAAGAAACGAGGGAUGUACGAGGUUCGUAGUAUUGAUGUCUCUGGAAGCAACAGCCACGUCAAAGUCUCCGACGCACCAGUUUCUAUAUGUUUCACUGACCACACAAGCUUUGUCGAGGUCACGGAACCGACAGUGAAUCAUCCUACAGAGAAGUUUCGUUUACAAAUGUAUGAUCAACUCAAGGCUUUGGCUAACACUAACGUGGAUUUGGCUGGUUUGUAUAACAACUUUCAACUCAUACUUUAACCGUAUGUUCUCCAUUUAAGCAGAUGCUCCUAACACUUAUGUUUGCAAUGUUUGUUGCAGACAUCAUGAGCAAAGUUAGUAGUGUCAACACUGUUUUUAAUGAUGAAAACCAGUCCAUAUAGCUGGUCUUAAAAUGUUAACUGCUGAAGUUUUGUUUCAGGUCGGCUUCCUGAAUGCAACCUCUGCAAUUCAUUUCUAUUUUGAUAAUGAGAAUUGUGCAGGUACAAGUUAUCUUGAGAGGUAAUGACUUUGACCACUAUUUUCUACAACACAGAGAAUACCUUAAUAGUCCAACUCACUGACUGAAAGCGGUUCUUAUUUAGGACAGGGGCAGGGGCAAAGGCUUGACCUCCAUCCCUACAAAAUAUGGGGGUGUUAAGAAGAUUAAUCAAAUGGUAGCAGAGCUUAAUGACUUCGGCCUGAAAUCUCCACCUCAGGUACGCCGUUAAAUGGAUGGUUCUACAUUUCUUGCUCCAAGUGCUACCGGGAAUUGCAGGGUGGAUUUACAUCAUUCACAUGGGCUUCCUGCAAUGAAGUGAACGCUACCGCAGGUGUGCAAGAGCCACAGGAUUGUGACCUUCCACAAUGCUUAGAGGAGAUUAUUGGGAGCACUUUAACCUUCCAAUUGAACCUACCUCACUUCAACUUCACUGCAAAACAUCAGAGCUUCACCGUGUCUUGCAUUCUCGACAACAACCAGCGCCCUCCCCAGCGUAAUUUUGAGGUUCAUGGUGGGAAUGACAACCCUGAAGAUAAUAUGCCAGGUGCUGGAGCAAUAAAAAAAAACCACAGUAUUGGACUUAAGAGCACACUGUGAAUGUGGUAAUCGUGUUGGUAAUGGUGAUGUUGAAGGUGGAAGAGGUGAGGCAUCAGAUCCACGAGACAACUCUGUUGACGGAAGCAGCACAGGAGAGGGGGCACCUGUGGAGGAAGAUUGGUGUUCUGCAGAGAAGACACGGAAUGAUUAAAAACGUUAAGAGAUCAAGGGGUGCUUAGGUUGCAAGACAAGAUGGCGUUUCUAUGCAUUAGUUUUUAAAUAAAUUUCCAGACACUAUUACGUCUUGAGUACUACAAAGUUUCUGCUUUUAUUAUUUCCAGUUUUCUUAUUGUAACUUAUUUCCAGUUUUUUUGUUUAGAACAUUUUAGUCAUAUCAGUUUUCUUUUUGCAUUUAAAAAUAUUAAUAUCAUGUUCUCAAACACCGUUCCCUAUUCCUAGGAAAGCAUAAUCUAAUAUUCUCAAACAUUAACCAGAAUAUU